rnacentral:pre_miRNA from 1 species
ACAUCCCAACUGGGCACACUGUUGUGAUGAUGGACAGAUGGUGUGCUUGUUUGGAUGUGG